ACAGGCUCCAAUCGAAGCCGUUCAUGUUUCCACGUAACAGCGAACGGUCAAUAGGAAGCCAAGAUGAAGACUUCCACCGACGGUCGCUGUUCAGUUCAAAUGUAACUGUUUCAGCAACAUUUAGGGGAAGGACACUG